GUGGGUAGUUUGACUGGGGCGGUCUCCUCCUAAAGAGUAACGGAGGAGCACGAAGGUUGGCUAAUCCUGGUCGGACAUCAGGAGGUUAGUGCAAUGGCAUAAGCCAGCUUGACUGCGAGCGUGACGGCGCGAGCAGGUGCGAAAGCAGGUCAUAGUGAUCCGGUGGUUCUGAAUGGAAGGGCCAUCGCUCAACGGAUAAAAGGUACUCCGGGGAUAACAGGCUGAUACCGCCCAAGAGUUCAUAUCGACGGCGGUGUUUGGCACCUCGAUGUCGGCUCAUCACAUCCUGGGGCUGAAGUAGGUCCCAAGGGUAUGGCUGUUCGCCAUUUAAAGUGGUACGCGAGCUGGGUUUAGAACGUCGUGAGACAGUUCGGUCCCUAUCUGCCGUGGGCGCUGGAGAACUGAGGGGGGCUGCUCCUAGUACGAGAGGACCGGAGUGGACGCAUCACUGGUGUUCGGGUUGUCAUGCCAAUGGCACUGCCCGGUAGCU
rnacentral:rRNA from 4 species